rnacentral:rRNA from 1 species
UACGCAGGGGGCGAGCGUUGUUCGGAUUUACUGGGCGUAAAGGGCGCGCAGGCGGCUUUGUUUGUCAGGCGUGAAAGCCCCGGGCUUAACCUGGGAACUGCGUUUGAUACGGCAGGGCUAGAGUUCGGGAGAGGAGAGUGGAAUUCCCAGUGUAGAGGUGAAAUUCGUAGAUAUUGGGAAGAACACCGGUGGCGAAGGCGGCUCUCUGGACCGAUACUGACGCUGAGGCGCGAAAGCGUGGGGAACAAACAGG